UUCGUUGUCGUCCAGCGGUUAGGAUAUCUUGCUUUCACCCAGGAGACUCGGGUUCGAUUCCCGGCAACAGAA
rnacentral:tRNA from 1 species